rnacentral:rRNA from 1 species
UACAGAGGUCUCAAGCGUUGUUCGGAUUCAUUGGGCGUAAAGGGUGCGUAGGCGGCGCGGUAAGUCGGGUGUGAAAUCUCGGAGCUUAACUCCGAAACUGCAUUCGAUACUGCCGUGCUUGAGGACUGGAGAGGAGACUGGAAUUUACGGCGUAGCGGUGAAAUGCGUAGAUAUCGUAAGGAAGACCAGUGGCGAAGGCGGGUCUCUGGACAGUUCCUGACGCUGAGGCACGAAGGCCAGGGGAGCAAACGGG